rnacentral:lncRNA from 1 species
CCCUCUACAUAAUUCCAUAGUGCCAGAACGUAGAAUGGGUCCUGGUCUUUCACUUAAACAUAACAUUCCAAAGUGCCAGAACGUAGAAUGGGUCAUAGUCUUUCUCUUACAUGGUGACAGCGAAUGUAGAAUGGGUCCCACUGGUCUUUCAUUCCGUACCGUACAUAUCAUAUCAUCACAUCAUAGAUUGAGGUCUAUGGAUCAUCCAAUAUCCAUCCACAUCAACAACAUAUUAUGCAAUGCAACAUAUUCGUGAAUUCUAAUGCAAACAACCUAAUAUAUC